rnacentral:rRNA from 1 species
GAGCAUUGCGCGUGCUAUACAUGCAGUCGAGCGAAUUGACAGAGGUGCUUGCACCUCUCGAUUUUAGCGGCGGACGGGUGAGUAACACGUGGGUAACCUACCUAUAAGACUGGGAUAACUUCGGGAAACCGGAGCUAAUACCGGAUAAUAUUUAGCUUCGCAUGAAGCAAUAGUGAAAGACGGUUCUGCUGUCACUUAUAGAUGGACCUGCGGUGUAUUAGCUAGUUGGUGAGGUAACGGCUCACCAAGGCAACGAUACAUAGCCGACCUGAGAGGGUGAUCGGCCACACUGGGACUGAGACACGGCCCAGACUCCUACGGGAGGCAGCAGUAGGGAAUCUUCCGCAAUGGACGAAAGUCUGACGGAGCAACGCCGCGUGAGUGAAGAAGGUUUUCGGAUCGUAAAACUCUGUUGUAAGGGAAGAACAAGUACGUUAGUAACUGAACGUACCUUGACGGUACCUUACCAGAAAGCCACGGCUAACUACGUGCCAGCAGCCGCGGUAAUACGUAGGUGGCAAGCGUUAUCCGGAAUUAUUGGGCGUAAAGCGCGCGUAGGCGGUCUCUUAAGUCUGAUGUGAAAGCCCCCGGCUCAACCGGGGAGGGUCAUUGGAAACUGGGAGACUUGAGUACAGAAGAGGAGAGUGGAAUUCCAUGUGUAGCGGUGAAAUGCGCAGAGAUAUGGAGGAACACCAGUGGCGAAGGCGGCUCUCUGGUCUGUAACUGACGCUGAGGUGCGAAAGCGUGGGGAUCAAACAGGAUUAGAUACCCUGGUAGUCCACGCCGUAAACGAUGAGUGCUAAGUGUUGGGGGGUUUCCGCCCCUCAGUGCUGCAGCUAACGCAUUAAGCACUCCGCCUGGGGAGUACGGUCGCAAGACUGAAACUCAAAGGAAUUGACCGGGAC